GAUGAACGCUGGCGGCGUGCUUAACACAUGCAAGUCGAACGAAGCACUUUAUUUGAUUUCCUUCGGGACUGAUUAUUUUGUGACUGAGUGGCGGACGGGUGAGUAACGCGUGGGUAACCUGCCUUGUACAGGGGGAUAACAGUUGGAAACGGCUGCUAAUACCGCAUAAGCGCACGGCAUCGCAUGAUGCAGUGUGAAAAACUCCGGUGGUAUAAGAUGGACCCGCGUUGGAUUAGCUAGUUGGUGAGGUAACGGCCCACCAAGGCGACGAUCCAUAGCCGACCUGAGAGGGUGACCGGCCACAUUGGGACUGAGACACGGCCCAAACUCCUACGGGAGGCAGCAGUGGGGAAUAUUGCACAAUGGGCGAAAGCCUGAUGCAGGGACGCCGCGUGAGCGAAGAAGUAUUUCGGUAUGUAAAGCUCUAUCAGCAGGGAAGAUAAUGACGGUACCUGACUAAGAAGCACCGGCUAAAUACGUG
rnacentral:rRNA from 1 species